rnacentral:rRNA from 1 species
GUAGGGGGCUAGCGUUAUCCGGAAUUACUGGGCGUAAAGGGUGCGUAGGUGGUUUCUUAAGUCAGAGGUGAAAGGCUACGGCUCAACCGUAGUAAGCCUUUGAAACUGGGAAACUUGAGUGCAGGAGAGGAGAGUGGAAUUCCUAGUGUAGCGGUGAAAUGCGUAGAUAUUAGGAGGAACACCAGUUGCGAAGGCGGCUCUCUGGACUGUAACUGACACUGAGGCACGAAAGCGUGGGGAGCAAACAGGAUUAGAUACCCUGGUAGUCCACGCCGUAAACGAUGAGUACUAGCUGUCGGAGGUUACCCCCUUCGGUGGCGCAGCUAACGCAUUAAGUACUCCGCCUGGGAAGU